rnacentral:misc_RNA from 1 species
CUCAGGCAACCUGAACCUCCUUAAGAACUUGCCACUGCUCCUCUCCAGGCGAUGCCACUUAUCAUUCUUCUUCUCCUUCUCUUUGUUCCUCUCUCCACUAAUCUGAAGAAUUCUACCAUCUUCAACCUCUACUUUCACCUCCUCUUUCUUGAGUCCGGGGACAUCAGCUUUGAAAAUGUGAGCUUCUGGUGUUUCCUUCCAAUCAAUUCUUGUGUUAAUGAUAGCUGAAGUCUCCAGAGCCGAAGCAGACACAUCUUGGAGUGCUAAGUUGAAGAAACCAUCAAAGGGAUCCCAUAUGUCCAGGGAAAGUGGGUCAAAAACAUUGGUUUUUAGGCUAUGAAUUAGCGACAUGUUUGAAAACGUGUAAGAACAAGGACAAAAACCUUGCAAAAAGAACCUAUAUAGAAAGCCUUGAUAAGAUCUCCAAUGGUGUUGCAGUGAGAUGAGCACUCUCUCUAUAUAGGCACUGAGGGGAGGAUUCUGGCCCCAAAACUGUGAAAUAAAAUAUUAAAAAGUAAAAAGAAAGCAAACACAAGAGACUUCUCGUGAACCCAAGACCCCUUUAGCUCUUCGGCUCCACCUUUAGGAGACUUCUCGACCUUCCAUGGUUCCUCUUUAAUCUUGUCUUCCAUGUUAUGUUUGUUUAGCAUAAAAAUGUUGGGAUAGUAUUGGAUGCUUCUAAGAUG